GACGAACGCUGGCGGCGUGCUUAACACAUGCAAGUCGAGCGGUAAGGCCCUUUCGGGGGUACGACGAGCGGCGAACGGGUGAGUAACACGUGGGUGACCUGCCCUCAGCUCUGGGAUAAGCCUGGGAAACCGGGUCUAAUACUGGAUAUGACUCCAUGACGCAUGUUGGUGGGGUGGAAAGCCUUGUGCGGCUGAGGAUGGGCCCGCGGCCUAUCAGCUUGUUGGGUGGGGUGACGGCCUACCAAGGCGACGACGGGUAGCCGGCCUGAGAGGGCGACCGGCCACACUGGGACUGAGACACGGCCCAGACUCCUACGGGAGGCAGCAGUGGGGAAUCUUGCGCAAUGGGCGAAAGCCUGACGCAGCGACGCCGCGUGAGGGAUGACGGCCU
rnacentral:rRNA from 1 species